rnacentral:tRNA from 1 species
ACACUGGUGGUUUGGUGGUAGAAUUCUUGCCUUCCAUGCAGGAGACCAGAGUUCAAUUCCCAGCCAGUGCA